rnacentral:rRNA from 1 species
UACGAAGGGGGCUAGCGUUGUUCGGAAUUACUGGGCGUAAAGCGCGCGCAGGCGGUUUUUCAAGUCAGUGGUGAAAGCCCGGAGCUCAACUCCGGAACUGCCAUUGAAACUGUAAGACUUGAGGAUGAGAGAGGUGAGUGGAAUUCCCAGUGUAGAGGUGAAAUUCGUAGAUAUUGGGAAGAACACCGGUGGCGGAGGCGGCUCACUGGCUCAUUACUGACGCUCAGGCGCGACAGCGUGGGGAUCAAACAGG